rnacentral:rRNA from 1 species
GACGAACGCUGGCGGCGUGCUUAACACAUGCAAGUCGAACGGUGAAGCGCCUUCCUUUUUGGUGGGUGUGGAUGAGUGGCGAACGGGUGAGUAACACGUGAGUAACCUGCCCCCUUCUUCUGGAUAACCGCAUGAAAGUGUGGCUAAUACGGGAUAUUCUGGGUCUGUCGCAUGAUGGGUCUGGGAAAGAUAUUGUUUCGGUGGGGGAUGGGCUCGCGGCCUAUCAGCUUGUUGGUGGGGUGAUGGCCUACCAAGGCGGUGACGGGUAGCCGGCCUGAGAGGGUGGACGGUCACACUUGGACAGGGACACGGCCCAGACUCAUAGAGGAGGCAGUAGUGGGGAAUAUUGCACGAUGGGCGCAAGCCUGAUGCAGCGACGCCGCGUGAGGGAUGGAGGCCUUCGGGUUGUGAACCUCUUUCGCCAGUGAAGCAGGCCUGCCUCGUUUGUGGGUGGGUUGACGGUAGCUGGAUAAGAAGCGCCGGCUAACUACGUG